UAUUGCACAAUGGGGGAAACCCUGAUGCAGCGACGCCGCGUGGGCGAAGAAGUAUCUCGGUGUGUAAAGCACUAUCAGCAGGGCAGAAGAAAUGACGGUACCUGAGUAAGAAGCACCGGCUAAAUACGUGCCAGCAGCCGCGGUAAUACGUAUGGUGCAAGCGUUAUCCGGAUUUACUGGGUGUAAAGGGAGCGUAGGCGGCCUGGCAAGCCUGAUGUGAAAUACCGGGGCCCAACCCCGGGGCUGCAUUGGGAACUGCCAGGCUGGAGUGCCGGAGAGGCAGGCGGAAUUCCUAGUGUAGCGGUGAAAUGCGUAGAUAUUAGGAGGAACACCAGUGGCGAAGGCGGCCUGCUGGACGGUGACUGACGCUGAGGCUCGAAAGCGUGGGGAGCAAACAGG
rnacentral:rRNA from 1 species